rnacentral:tRNA from 5 species
GGGUGCUUAGCUCAGUUGGUAGAGCGGCGCCCUUACAAGGCGUAGGUCGGGAGUUCGAGACUCUCAGCACCCACCA